rnacentral:rRNA from 1 species
UACGAAGGGGGCUAGCGUUGUUCGGAAUCACUGGGCGUAAAGGGCGCGUAGGCGGCUUUAUAAGUCGGGGGUGAAAGCCUGUGGCUCAACCACAGAAUUGCCUCGAUACUGUAUGGCUUGAGACCGGAAGAGGUAAGUGGAACUGCGAGUGUAGAGGUGAAAUUCGUAGAUAUUCGCAAGAACACCAGUGGCGAAGGCGGCUUACUGGUCCGGUUCUGACGCUGAGGCGGCGAAAGCGUGGGGAGCAAACAGG